rnacentral:rRNA from 1 species
UAGGGAAUCUUCCACAAUGGACGCAAGUCUGAUGGAGCAACGCCGCGUGAGUGAAGAAGGGUUUCGGCUCGUAAAGCUCUGUUGUUAAAGAAGAACGUGGGUAAGAGUAACUGUUUACCCAGUGACGGUAUUUAACCAGAAAGCCACGGCUAACUACGUGCCAG